GACGAACGCUGGCGGCGUGCUAAACACAUGCAAGUCGAACGAUGAAGCCGGAGCUUGCUCCAGUGGAUUAGUGGCGAACGGGUGAGUAACACGUGAGCAAUCUGCCCUUGACUCUGGGAUAACUGCGGGAAACUGUAGCUAAUACCGGAUACGACACCUUGGGGCAUCCCAGGGUGUGGAAAGAAUUUCGGUCAAGGAUGAGCUCGCGGCCUAUCAGCUAGUUGGUGAGGUAAUGGCUCACCAAGGCGACGACGGGUAGCCGGCCUGAGAGGGUGACCGGCCACACUGGAACUGAGACACGGUCCAGACUCCUACGGGAGGCAGCAGUGGGGAAUAUUGCACAAUGGGCGAAAGCCUGAUGCAGCAACGCCGCGUGAGGGAUGAAGGCCUUCGGGUUGUAAACCUCUUUUAGUAGGGAAGAAGCGAAAGUGACGGUACCUGCAGAAAAAGCACCGGCUAACUACGUGCCAGCCGCCGCCGUAA
rnacentral:rRNA from 1 species